rnacentral:rRNA from 1 species
UACGUAGGGAGCAAGCGUUGUCCGGAUUCAUUGGGCGUAAAGAGCGUGUAGGCGGCCAAACAGGUCAGCUGUGAAAACUCGAGGCUCAACCUCGAGACGUCGGUUGAAACCGUUUGGCUAGAGUCCGGAAGAGGAGAGUGGAAUUCCCGGUGUAGCGGUGAAAUGCGCAGAUAUCGGGAAGAACACCCGUGGCGAAGGCGGCUCUCUGGGACGGUACUGACGCUGAGACGCGAAAGCGUGGGGAGCGAACAGG